UUUGGCACAUGUAAUACCUGCC
rnacentral:miRNA from 1 species